UGAGGAAUAUUGGUCAAUGGACGAGAGUCUGAACCAGCCAAGUAGCGUGCAGGAUGACGGCCCUAUGGGUUGUAAACUGCUUUUGUAUGGGGAUAAAGUUAGGGACGUGUCCCUAUUUGCAGGUACCAUACGAAUAAGGACCGGCUAAUUCCGUGCCAGCAGCCGCGGUAAUACGGAAGGUCCGGGCGUUAUCCGGAUUUAUUGGGUUUAAAGGGAGCGUAGGCCGGAGAUUAAGUGUGUUGUGAAAUGUAGACGCUCAACGUCUGACUUGCAGCGCAUACUGGUUUCCUUGAGUACGCACAACGUUGGCGGAAUUCGUCGUGUAGCGGUGAAAUGCUUAGAUAUGACGAAGAACUCCGAUUGCGAAGGCAGCUGACGGGAGCGCAACUGACGCUUAAGCUCGAAGGUGCGGGUAUCGAACAGGAUUAGAUACCCUGGUAGUCCGCACAGUAAACGAUGGAUGCCCGCUGUUGGUACCUGGUAUCAGCGGCUAAGCGAAAGCAUUAAGCAUCCCACCUGGGGAGUACGCCGGCAACGGU
rnacentral:rRNA from 1 species